AUUGAACGCUGGCGGCAGGCCUAACACAUGCAAGUCGAACGAGUGGCGGACGGGUGAGUAAUGUCUGGGACACUGCCUGAUGGAUGGGGAUAACUACUGGAAACGGUAGCUAAUACCGCAUACCCUCGGAUGUGCCCAGAUGGGAUUAGCUUGUAGGUGGGGUAAAGGUCCACCUAGGAGACGAUCCCUAGCUGGUCUGAGAGGAUGACCAGCCACACUGGAACUGAGACACGGUCCAGACUCCGACGGGAGGCAGCAGUGGGGAAUAGUGCACAAUGGGCGCAAGCCUGAUGCAGCCAUGCCGCGUGUAUGAAGAAGGCCUUCGGGUUGUAAAGUACUUUCAGCGGGGAGGCGUUACCCGCAGAAGAAGCACCGGCUAACUCCGUGCCAGCCGCCGCGGUAAUAC
rnacentral:rRNA from 1 species